GACGAACGCUGGCGGCGUGCUUAACACAUGCAAGUCGAACGGAAAGGCCCUGCUUUUGUGGGGUGCUCGGGUGGCGAACGGGUGAGUAACACGUGAGUAACCUGCCCUUGACUUUGGGAUAACUUCAGGAAACUGGGGCUAAUACCGGAUAGGAGCUCCUGCUGCAUGGUGGGGGUUGGAAAGGUUCGGCGGUUGGGGAUGGACUCGCGGCUUAUCAGCUUGUUGGUGGGGUAGUGGCUUACCAAGGCUUUGACGGGUAGCCGGCCUGAGAGGGUGAGCGGCCACAUUGGGACUGAGAUACGGCCCAGACGCCUACGGGAGGCAGCAGUGGGGAAUAGUGCGCUAUGGGCGGAAGGCGUAUGCAGCGACGCCGCGUGCGGGAUGACGGCCUUCGGGUUGUAAACCGCUUUCGCCUGUGACGAAGCGUGAGUGACGGUAAUGGGUAAAGAAGCACCGGCUAACUACGUG
rnacentral:rRNA from 1 species